rnacentral:lncRNA from 1 species
GAUGUUCACAAAUGAAAUUAAAAAAAGAUCACACCCUCAGGCAGCGAGACAUCCUCUUCUAACUUCUUGAUGAUAUCAAUUGGAUAUAUCUCUGAUGUCAAUCCAAUAGAAAUGGAAUUAACAUUAAAUUGUUUACUAAUCCUAAUUAAAUCGAGAUGGUAGAUGCAAAUCUACAUAAGAAAAUGAAAGAAGAGGCUAAUCAAGAAGGC